rnacentral:rRNA from 1 species
GACGAACCGUGCAAACGUUGUUCGGAAUCACUGGGCUUAAAGGGCGCGCAGGCGGUCGUACAAGUCGGGUGUGAAAGCCCCCGGCUCAACUGGGGAGGGUCACGCGAUACUGUUCGACUCGAAGGCAGGAGAGGGAAGCGGAAUUCCCGGUGUAGUGGUGAAAUGCGUAGAUAUCGGGAGGAACACCAGUGGCGAAGGCGGCUUCCUGGCCUGUUCUUGACGCUGAGGCGCGAAAGCUAGGGUAGCAAACGGG